CUGCCGGGCGCCGGCGCGCUCGGCUCUUUCCGCCGCCGCCGCUGCCGCGCGCUGCCCCGUGCGCCUCGCCACCUUCGGCAAUUUCCGUCGGGCCCUGGCCGCCAUUUUCUCGCCGCUUGUGUGGCUCGCUGGCUGCGUGGCUCGGUUCUUGUGAGGGAAGCUUUGUCCGGUUCGGCAAUGGACGGAAUUGUCACUGAGGUUGCAGUUGGUGUGAAGAGAGGAUCUGACGAACUACUCUCAGGCAGUGUUCUCAGUAGUCCAAACUCUAAUAUGAGCAGCAUGGUAGUUACAGCCAAUGGUAAUGAUAGUAAAAAAUUUAAAGGAGAAGAUAAAAUGGAUGGUGCUCCUUCUCGUGUACUUCAUAUUCGAAAAUUACCUGGUGAAGUGACAGAAACUGAAGUUAUUGCUUUAGGCUUACCUUUUGGUAAGGUGACCAACAUCCUUAUGCUGAAAGGAAAAAAUCAGGCAUUUUUGGAACUAGCAACAGAGGAAGCAGCUAUUACUAUGGUUAAUUACUAUUCUGCUGUGACACCUCAUCUUCGUAACCAACCAAUUUAUAUCCAGUACUCCAAUCACAAAGAAUUAAAGACAGAUAAUACAUUAAACCAACGUGCUCAAGCAGUUCUUCAAGCUGUGACAGCUGUCCAGACAGCAAGUACUCCUCUUAGUGGCACCACAGUUAGUGAGAGUGCAGUGACUCCAGCCCAGAGUCCAGUACUUAGAAUAAUUAUUGACAAUAUGUACUACCCUGUAACACUUGAUGUUCUUCACCAAAUAUUUUCUAAGUUUGGUGCUGUGUUGAAGAUAAUCACAUUUACAAAAAAUAACCAGUUUCAAGCUUUGCUUCAGUAUGGUGAUCCAGUAAAUGCUCAACAAGCGAAAUUAGCCCUAGAUGGUCAGAAUAUUUAUAAUGCUUGCUGUACCCUAAGGAUUGAUUUUUCCAAACUUGUGAAUUUGAAUGUAAAGUACAACAAUGAUAAAAGUCGGGAUUAUACUCGACCUGAUCUUCCAUCUGGGGAUGGGCAACCUGCAUUGGACCCAGCCAUUGCUGCAGCAUUUGCCAAGGAGACAUCCCUCUUAGGGCUUCCUGUUGCAGCUGUUCCAGGAGCUCUGAGUCCUUUGGCCAUUCCAAAUGCUGCUGCAGCCGCUGCUGCAGCCGCUGCUGGCCGAGUGGGUAUGCCUGGAGUCUCAGCUGGUGGCAAUACAGUCCUGUUGGUUAGCAAUUUAAAUGAAGAGAUGGUUACGCCCCAAAGUCUGUUUACCCUCUUCGGUAUGUUAUUGUUAGCACUAUACUUUUAUUAUUGAUUUGAUUUUUGUUUCACCUUAAUUCUUAUUUGUAGCUAGCACUUUGGCUUAAAGUUGAAUAGUAAAUCUUUUGCUAUUUUUCUUUGCUAUUUAAAACUCUCCAUAGACACAAAAUUUGUUUUAAUGCAUGCUGAUUUAUUUUGCAUGGUCUUUAAUUUAAUAUCAUUCACAUAGCUUUGAGGGUUUAUCAAAAAUUAUUCUUUUCAAAAUUCACUGUUCAAAAUCUUGAUCUUCUUUAUUCAUUUGUGAGAAUGAUGAGAUUGAAUGAGUGAUCAUGUUGAUGUCUGAAUGUUUCAUUGAUAUGUCAGAAAGAUAAUCGUUAGCUGACUUGCACGUAAAAUUAAUUCUAUUUUUGGAUUACCUCUCUGUGACUCCAAAAAAGGUGUUUAUGGAGAUGUGCAGCGUGUGAAGAUUUUGUACAAUAAGAAAGACAGUGCUCUAAUACAGAUGGCAGAUGGAAACCAAUCACAACUUGCCAUGAAUCAUCUUAAUGGACAGAAAAUGUAUGGAAAAAUUAUUCGUGUUACUCUCUCUAAACAUCAGACUGUACAACUACCUCGAGAGGGCCUUGAUGAUCAAGGGCUAACAAAAGAUUUUGGUAAUUCCCCAUUGCAUCGUUUUAAGAAACCUGGAUCCAAAAAUUUUCAGAAUAUUUUUCCUCCUUCUGCAACCCUUCACCUAUCUAAUAUUCCUCCUUCAGUAGCAGAAGAGGAUCUACGAACACUGUUUGCUAACACUGGGGGCACUGUGAAAGCAUUUAAGUUUUUUCAAAGAGAUCACAAAAUGGCUCUUCUUCAGAUGGCAACAGUGGAAGAAGCUAUCCAGGCCUUGAUUGAUCUUCAUAAUUAUAACCUUGGUGAAAACCAUCAUCUGAGAGUAUCUUUCUCCAAGUCAACAAUUUAAAAACGGGGAGAUGAAGACUGUGGGUGAAUCACAUUGUUCGGUGUCAUCACCUAUUGACUGUUCAGAAAAGUGGGGACCAGAGUUUGAUUUUAUGUUAGUUUUCUUUUUCUUUUUUUUUUCCCAUGCUGUUAUCAUUCCUUGGUUAUGAAAUGAAAUGGCAUAUGUAAAGGCAGAAUUAUUAACUGCUGUAUUUCAUCUGUUCUAUAGGGAAGCCAUUUUUAUUGUCUGUUUAAAAUUUCAGUUUAAUUUUGCUUUCUUUUUUCAACUUAGUUGACAUACGUGCCUUAAAAAGGAAAACUAGUGUUGCUUAUGUGCAUUUACUAGAAAAAAGGAAUUGGUUGUCUAGGGCACAUUGUUACAUGGGAAUUAAAAUAUGUUUAGGCAGGGGUGUGUAAAAAGGUUAAGUUUUUGUUUCUCCUGCUUGGAACUUAUUUUGAAUUAGUGAUUUGUCAUAUUAUUUUCUAUUUAAUCAAAUAAGAUACAUGGUACUGAAAGAAUAAAGCAGCAUUUUUAGGUUUUACUACCUUAGGCUUUAUUGCUUUAAAAAACAUUGGCCUUUUGUAUCUCACAAUUCUGGUCUAGAUUCAGUUAUGAAUGUAGGCAUUAGUUAAAAUUAACAAGAUGCAGAGGAUUAAUUUCUUAAGACAACAAAGUGAUUUCUGUAAGUUUGAGCCCUAUGUGGAAAGCAUUGUGGAAUCUUAACCUUUUUGUACACACUCUUGUGGGACGUAUCAUAUAAAUGUCAGCACUAAGUAAUGUCUUGUUUGUGGCUGAAUAUUUUUCGUAGAUGUUUUUGAAGUUGACAUGACUUAUGUGCAUUUAAAUAUAUAUUGCCAUCCUUAGUUUGUAAUUAAGAUUUGGAAUAUGGUUGUGGAUUUCUGAGCAUGUGCAGACUGGUCUAGCUAGUUCAGGAACUGGUGCAUGUAUUUUUCAAAGAUAAAGAAAGUGUACUGCGGCAAUUUGCAGGAAGAUUAAUUUUGUGGCAGUUUUCUAAAACUGACAACCAGGUGGGACCAAAGUUUAUGUGCCUUUAGUCUUAAUUUACCUUGCAUUGUAAUAUUCAGUUUUAAUAAAUCUUCAAAAUAUUUUGUAUUUAGGAAUAGAUCUGACUUUAAUAAAAACAUGGCUCAGAAUCUACAGGUCAAAUUAAUUUGAACAGUUCUUGUCAAUCUGAAUUGUUGAUUCUGUUUAAAUGACCAAUACUUUUUGAAAUUGAUGUACUUAGUUUCAAGAUUCAUAGAUUCUGUUAUCUAUGUAGACAGAAUGGUCAUGUAUAUUUUCUAUUAGUUGAGUUUUUACAUCUUUAGAAAUGUAAAAUUCAGUAUAGUUUGAAAGCGGCACAAUUAAAAAUUAAUUUUCUAACAAA